rnacentral:lncRNA from 1 species
UCUGAAGCCUUCUCCCAACUUCUUCCAUUUUCAGCAGGAGACUGGUAACCACUGCUAUAGCCCGGUACAACAGUUCCUCCUCAGGAUCUCCGUGGAAUAGAUUGUACAGAGUUUUUGAGAACUGGAUGAACUGAGACUGAUUCAUUCUUGGCAAAUCCUUAAUGUUUUCUUCUUUUUUAAGAAGUUCAUCUUGCCAUUGCUUCAGAUAGGCCUGAAUAUCAACCUUGCCCUUCCCUGUUUGACAAAAUAAGUAAAUAAAGUGAGCAAACAAGAACUGAGAGCUUCCAUGAGGUAUGAUGAGCAAAACAACUGCAUCCCCCACGUCAUUCCUUCGGAGCUGUGGGGCCAGGAUCAGAGUUUACAUUACUCCCUCCUUCACAGGACUACACGUACAGAAGUGGCUAUAAUGUUAGCACUAUGCUGGAGAUUAUGUGAAUUGGUAUACUUUGUCAGCAUGCACUUUCCAAGCUCUGCUCCCACA